UUUCCGUAGGUGAACCUGCGGAAGGAUCAUUAUUGUAUAACCGAGGUGCGAGGGCUGUCGCUGACCCGAAAGGUCGUGCACGCCCGAGUGCCCUCACACACAUCCAUCUCACCCCUAUGUGCACCACCGCGUGGGUCCCCCUUUGGCUUGUUCGGAGGGGGGCUUACGUUUUCACACAAACUUUGUAUGCAGUGUAGAAUGUAUUUUUUGUUUUUGCGAUCACGCAAUCAAUACAACUUUCAACAACGGAUCUCUUGGCUCUCGCAUCGAUAAAGAACGCAGC
rnacentral:misc_RNA from 1 species